rnacentral:rRNA from 1 species
GAUGAACGCUGGCGGCGUGCCUAAUACAUGCAAGUCGAACGAACAGACGAGGAGCUUGCUCCUCUGACGUUAGCGGCGGACGGGUGAGUAACACGUGGAUAACCCACCUAUAUGACUGGGAUCACUUCGGGAAACCGGAGCUAAUACCGGAUAAUAUAUUGAACCGCAUGGUUCAAUAGUGAAAUACGGUUUUUCUGUCACGUAUAGAUGGAUCCGCGCCUCAUUAGCUAGUUGGUAAGGUAACGGCUUACCAAGGCAACGAUGCGUAGCCGACCUGAGAGGGUGAUCGGCCACACGGGAACGGAGACGCGGUCCAGGGGCCUACGGGAGGCAGCAGUAGGGAAUCUGCCGCAAUGGGCGGAAGCCUGACGGAGCAACGCCGAGUGAGUGAUGAAGGUCUUCGGAUCGUAAAACUCUGUUAUGAGGGAAGAACAAAUGUGUAAGUAACUAUGCACGUCUUGACGGUACCUAAUCAGAAAGCCACGGCUAACUACGUG